rnacentral:rRNA from 1 species
AGAGAGAGACAUGCGCGCAUAUCAAUAAGCGGAGGAAAAGAAACUAACAAGGAUUCCCUUAGUAACGGCGAGUGAAGCGGGAAGAGCUCAAAUUUGAAAUCUUCAAGGUUUUACCUUGACGAAUUGUAGUUUAAAGAAGUGUUUUCUGCUGAAGUUUUGGUAAAAGUUCUUUGGAAUAGGACAUCAUAGAGGGUGAGAAUCCCGUAUUUGACCAUUAUUUUCAGCUUUGUGAUACACUUUCAAAGAGUCGGAUUGUUUGGGAAUGCAGUCCAAAAUGGGUGGUAAAUUUCAUCUAAAGCUAAAUAUUGGCGAGAGACCGAUAGCGAACAAGUACCGUGAGGGAAAGAUGAAAAGAACUUUGAAAAGGAGAGUUAAACAGUACGUGAAAUUGUCAAAAGGGAAGCGUUUGACACCAGUGUUGUCUUCUCGAAAAUCAAUUAAAAAUGGCUCGAUUUUGUAUUGUUGAGACCUUAAAAGCUCACUGUACAUUUUUCGUGUCUUUUUUAAUGCACUUUUCGUUUAACAAGUCAACAUCAGUUUCUUUUGUUGUAAAAGGGUCAUUGGAAGGUGGCUUUCUUUUCGGAGAAAGUGUUUAUAGCCUUUGGCCUCUGCAAUCGGAGAGACUGAGGUCUGCAGCGUAGACUCUUCGGGGUUAGAUACAUUUGUGCUAAGUUAUAGCUUUUUAUAGACAACUUGUUGACUAUAAUUAGUCUUGUAGCUUACUCGCUUAUGCUAUUUUACCUACGCUUAGGAUGUGAAGUCAUCGUAUCGCGC